GGGGAUGUAGCUCAAGUGGUAGAGCGCUAAGCUUUGCAUAGUUAGAGGUACAGGGUUCAACUCCUUGCAUCUCCA
rfam:Sorghum bicolor cultivar BTx623 chromosome 8, whole genome shotgun sequence.